rnacentral:rRNA from 1 species
AGCGAACGCUGGCGGCAGGCCUAACACAUGCAAGUCGAACGAAAUCUUCGGGGUUAGUGGCGAACAGGUGCGAAACGCGUGGUAACGUACCUUUAGGUGCGGAAUAACUCAGGGAAACUUGUCCUAAUACCAGAUGUGACCUCCGGGGGAAAGAUUUAUCGCCUUUAGGGCGGCCCGCGUCUGCUUAGCUGGUUGGUGCGGUAAAGGCUCACCAAGGCGACGAUCAGUAGCUGGUCUGAGCGCAUGAUCAGCAACACUGGGACAGGGACAAGGCCCAAACUCUGACGGGAGGGAGCAGGGGGGAACCAUGCGCAACGGGCGAAAGCAGGACGCAUCCAGGCCGUGUGAAUGAUGAAGGUGUUAGGAUUGUAAAAUUCUUUCACCGGGGACGUUAAUGACGGUACCCGGAGAAGAAGCCCCGCCUAACUCCUU